AAAAUGGAUAUGUUUUUUGAUAACUCAGUGCAGAUUGGAUGCGAUGUCCAAGCUGAGACGCGACCGAAAGACGCUCGGAGGACACGAACGACGGAUACGUUGGGAUACCUGACCGCACUAUAUCGGGUGACCGUUAUAGCGAACCUCUGUCGAGGGAAAGUAAAGGCGCGGUGCUGAUGUUAUCGCAAGCAAAGGCAUCCGUGGAGUCGCGGGGGCAAUAGACAGCCUUGUGAAUAGCGAGGCCGAAUCCAAGUUAGGGGAGACGAGUGGUGUCGCACCCAAACCUUGGAAAUACCACCAACCCCGUUUGCGGUGAUGUCAUGGAAACAUGGCUAUAAGACUCUACAGAAUCCGAGUAGCGGAAUCGCAUUGACUUGAUAUGAUGAAGAGAUGGGCUGAAUAGUGUCAAUUUGGUCAAAACUUUCUGAAUAUCCCGUGAAAGGUAGAGGUAACCAUCCCUUUGGCGGCAUUGUGCGAAUGUGUGCUGUUCUGAUAUGGGAUAGCGCAAUAAGCUUGGGCAAGAAGUGUAUGGAGGACGCUCUGUAUGCUCAGACUUGUCUACCGCAUGGCUGAAUAUGCUUGAAGAUAACUUGAGGUAAGGUGAAGACCUAUCAAACAAACGUAUUCAUU
rnacentral:ncRNA from 1 species